AUUGAACGCUGGCGGCAUGCUUUACACAUGCAAGUCGAACGGUAACAGGCCUUCGGGUGCUGACGAGUGGCGAACGGGGGAGUAAUGCAUCGGAACGUACCCAGAGGUGGGGGAUAACGCAGCGAAAGCUGUGCUAAUACCGCAUGUGAUCUGAGGAUGAAAGCGGGGGACCGAGCAGCAAUGUUUGGCCUCGCGCCUUUGGAGCGGCCGAUGUCGGAUUAGCUAGUUGGUGGGGUAAAGGCCUACCAAGGCGACGAUCCGUAGCUGGUCUGAGAGGACGACCCGCCACACUGGGACUGAGACGCGGCCCAGACUCCUACGGGAGGCCACGGUGGGGAAUUUUGGACGAUGGGGGCAAGCCUGAUCCAGCAAUGCCGCGUGCGGGAAGAAGGCCUUCGGGUUGUAAACCGCUUUUGGCAGGAACGAAACGGUGUCCGCUAAUACCGGGCGAUAAUGACGGUACCUGCAGAAUAAGCACCGGCUAACUACGUG
rnacentral:rRNA from 1 species